CCACAGAUAAUAGCAACACACUAAGGUCCUAGGAGAUGAGCUCUCCAGGAUGGCGAAGCAUCUAAUGGAUGAUAAAGUAGGUACUUGAACAGGACUAAGUGCCUUGGUCUGGGACAAUGAAGCUCAGCAAUCACUGAAGGACAGGUCCUCAAGGUACAUCGUUGGGAUCAAGCAACUUUGAUCCCAAGGAGAAGAAUAAAAACAAGAGGGACGACUGGGCCAAGGUGCCAUGUGAAGUGACCUGUGAGGAUCAACCCAGUGAAGAUGCUUGAGGAAGACAUGCUAGAGCAAAAACUACAACUCUGGUCCUCUUGGAUAUUUUAGAUAAGGACUUUACCCACAUAAAGAAGGUGUUGCCCUGGGGACUGGCUGAGAGAAAUUACAGACUGUUACUCACUUCAAAAGAAACGGACUGCUACAGUGGUACUUACGUCACCAGGUAAAAACUUAGAUAAAAUAAUUAUAAAACUAACCUUUAGUAACAAAUAGAAUCCAAUAAUAACACUACUAUCCAAAAGAAAAGUAUUUAAUGGUCACAAUUUCAGGUCUGCAUUUCAAACUGUUUUUCCUGAAUCUUUUAUUCUUCCUUUUCUGUGACAGUCUUACUAAUGCAUCAGCACAAAAUAAUUAACUGUUUUGCAAUCCAAGGAACACAUUAUGAUCAAUUGGGGAAAUAUAAAACUACCCACCGUGAGAUCCCA
rnacentral:lncRNA from 10 species